GCUUGUUGGUGAGGUAAAGGCUCACCAAGGCCACGAUCAGUAGCUGGUCUGAGAGGACGAUCAGCCACACUGGGAUUGAGAACGGCCCAGACUCCUACGGGGGGCAGCAGUGAGGAAUUUUCGUCAAUGGGGGCAACCCUGAACGAGCAACGCCGCGUGGAGGAUGAAGGCCUUCGGGUCGUAAACUCCUUUUCUCUGGGACGAGCAAGGACGGUACCAGAGGAAGAAGCCCCGGCUAACUACGUGCCAGCAGCCGCGGUAAUACGUAGGGGGCAAGCGUUGUCCGGAUUUAUUGGGCGUAAAGCGUCCGCAGGUGGUCAACCAAGUUUGGGGUGACAGUUCCCGGCUCAACUGGGAAAGUGCUUCGAAAACUGGCUGACUUGAGGGCUUGAGAGGAAAGCGGAAUUCCGGGUGGAGUGGUGAAAUGCGUAGAUAUCCGGAGGAACACCAAUGGCGUAGGCAGCUUUCUGGCAAGUACCUGACACUCAUGGACGAAAGCUAGGGGAGCAAACGGGAUUAGAUACCCCGGUAGUCCUAGCCGUAAACGAUGACCACUAGACGUGGGGGGUAUCGACCCCCUCUGUGUCGCAGUUAACACAUUAAGUGGUCCGCCUGGGG
rnacentral:rRNA from 1 species